AUUAACAAUUAUUUAAGGACGUUAGACACUCAAUUGCAUUAUCUAAGGACCUGUUUUUUCGACUUUAGUAGAGCCCUUAUCUCACUGAUCACAACAUUCUGGUUCUAAAACUGUUGUUACUUGCUGUCAGAAGAUCAAUUAUCCCAUGCGUCUGCAACUUUCUUCCAAUCUGCCGAUAAUGGGUAAAGAUUGAUAAUUCUUUUCCAAAUGUGGUUUUGUUAAUUAAUGCUGUACCUGUCCCUCAAGGAACUAAACUUGGACCCAUUCAACCUUGUGUUAAGAGCUAUAAAUACGAGCUAUAAAUGAACAGUUAAACGUAGCACUAAGAAUGAAACCACACAAAAUUUGAAUAUUUCGAUUUGACAACCAUCUACAGAGUAAAUUUUAAUCAUCUCAUAUUUGGUAUUCCAGACAAAUUAAACAUCUUAGACGUUAUUAAUACCAGACGUUUUCUAUUUCUCAAGCAAGUGUAGAAACCUUACUCAAUUUAGGUACUUGAAGUGUUAAUGCUUGAAUCUUGUAUGAUGUUUGAUGAUAUUCAAUAAUUAUGAUAAACCGCCCCAAAUACUUACUUAUUCUUGCCUUUCGUUUUUUUAUUAUUCUUCCCUCUUUGUCCUUGGUCAACUUCUGGCUUUUGAUAAAAGUAACCUUCCUGUUUUUCC